CAGUCGCCACGGGAAUACGUAGGGCGCAAGCGUUAUCCGGAAUUAUUGGGCGUAAAGAGCUCGUAGGCGGUUUGUCGCGUCUGCCGUGAAAGUCCGGGGCUCAACCCCGGAUCUGCGGUGGGUACGGGCAGACUAGAGUGAUGUAGGGGAGACUGGAAUUCCUGGUGUAGCGGUGAAAUGCGCAGAUAUCAGGAGGAACACCGAUGGCGAAGGCAGGUCUCUGGGCAUUAACUGACGCUGAGGAGCGAAAGCAUGGGGAGCGAACAGGAUUAGAUACCCGUGUAGUCCCUGUCUCUUAUAU
rnacentral:rRNA from 1 species